rnacentral:misc_RNA from 1 species
ACAAAUCUGCUAUAUGGCGAGCCCGAAAGGGAGCGCACAUAUAUAUUUACCCCGAGCUGGUGUUGCAUUCGUGCAUAAGCCAGCUUUGGUUGGGCAGGCCAACUCUUCACGGGGCUGGACUGCUCGGGACAGUGUUUGGGGGCCGCAAGGCUUUUAGGCGCUGGCCACAUUGACGCUUGUAUGUUUGACAGAGUUACAGUUGUAAACUAAAAAAGA